UCCCUGAUAGCUCAGUUGGUAAAGAAUCUGCUUGCAAUGCAGGAGACCCUGGUUCGAUCCCUGGGUCGGGAA
rnacentral:tRNA from 1 species